rnacentral:sRNA from 1 species
GUCUUCCUGUAACGCUUCCGAAUAAGAGGUCCGGUCGAAAAGAGUUGAAAGAUACGAAAUUAGGUGGUCGUUGGAAUCCUGAUCGCAGUAAAGUGGUCCUUGGUAACUGCUCGAGUAGAACAUGUCUGCAUCCGCCAAUAGUCUGCUAAUAGGGAGGGCUGUGCGAUUAAAGGCUUCCAUCGAUUGGGUAGUGUCCUUCAAGUGGGUGGCGAAGAGCCAGUCGGGCAUAUGUCAUGAAGGUUUCUCCGACCGAUUAAUGGUUUGCUGCUUGACUAGCCUAGGGAAAUAAUAAUAAAGGAUCUCAAAGAUUUCAUGAGACAAGCUGGGGAAGUAACGUUUGCGGAUGCACACCGACCUAAAUUAAAUGAAGGGGUGGUUGAGUUUGCCUCUUAUGGUGACUUAAAGAAUGCUAUUGAAAAACUUUCUGGAAAGGAAAUAAAUGGGAGAAAAAUAAAAUUAAUUGAAGGCAGCAAAAGGCACAGUAGGUCAAGAAGCAGGUCUCGAUCCCGGACCAGAAGUUCUUCUAGGUCUCGUAGCCGAUCCCGU